GGGGUCUUAGCUCAGUUGGUUCAGAGCGCAUGCUUGACAGGCAUGAGGUCGCCAGUUCGAUCCUGGCAGAUCCCACCA
rnacentral:tRNA from 1 species